UUCGUAAUCUCCAACAUCACUAAUACAGAUCGCAUACCACUAAAAAUAAAAGAAAAAAGGUGUAAGAAGAACAAUACUUAAUAGUCCAUUCAAUACAAGGUAAAAGUGAAUAAUUAUUCCUCAGUAGUCAUUCUCAUUCAACAAAAAACUUA